UACAGAGGUCUCAAGCGUUGUUCGGAUUCAUUGGGCGUAAAGGGUGUGUAGGUGGCGCCGUAAGUCGGGUGUGAAAUCUCGGAGCUUAACUCCGAAAUUGCAUUCGAUACUGCCGUGCUCGAGGACUGGAGAGGAGACUGGAAUUCAUGGUGUAGCAGUGAAAUGCGUAGAGAUCAUGAGGAAGACCAGUGGCGAAGGCGGGUCUCUGGACAGUUCCUGACACUGAGGCACGAAGGCCAGGGGAGCAAACGGG
rnacentral:rRNA from 1 species